UUUUGUUUCCUGUGUCAAACAAAUUUAAUUUAGCUCCAAAAUGCUGACCACCAAUUUCAAUCCAAAUAAGAAGCUAAAACUCUCAGAAAUUUAACAAAUUAUCCAGAUACUUUCUCGUCCAAAUUACAAAAAAUCAGCACAUAUCACCCAAUUGACAAAUACAAAUAAAUGAAUAAAAAGUAUAUAACAGACCUCUUCGGAUUCGGGCUCUUUCUUCUCCGUAUUACGAGAGGAUUUCUAUCAUCUUCUGAUAUAUCUUUAGAGUAGAAAAAGAAACGAAUAUUGAGAAAACAAAGAGGAGGAAAAUGUAGAGAGUGAUUGACAAUGUUCUUCUUGUAGUCCUAUGGCCUCUGUUCACCAUUUUUUUCUUUAAAAAAAAAAUCGAUAGAACUCUGCUGCUAUAUUUCUAGGCUGAUCAAUGGCUGCAUAAUUUGCGAUUAUGUUGCUUAAACUUUAAGGUAUAAAAUUGUGGGGAAUUUAUUGGUUUAGGUUGGGAUUCAGAUUCAGUGUUAAGAGUUGGAAGACGAGAUCAGAGGAUGUUUAAGUUUGAGAAAAUUGCAUUUUUGCACCCACUACUUCUAUAGAUAAUUCUUAGAUUGCGCGGAUUUCUUACACCUGGUGCAUCUCAGCUUCCAUUUCCUCUACUU
rnacentral:lncRNA from 1 species